rnacentral:lncRNA from 1 species
UUAAUUUCUUUAUUUCAUUUUUUAAAAUCAUUUUUCCACAAUACUUGAAACUCGUCGAUGCAAUUAAAUAGCUUGUAUAUAUGAAAAUUUCCGAAAUACAAAAAUGGAAAUUCGACGAGGAAAACUCAAACAAGCUGAAACAGCAAGGAACUCGUCGACGACCUCUUAGCUAAUGAAAACAACUUGGACAAAUUCAUAACCCAGAUCAGAAGAAGCAACAACAGAGAUACGGAGUUUAGCAAAACAGAAUCAACAAAUACAACUUCAAUUUCUGAAAUUGAAAUCGAAAUUCGCGGAAAUCAGCAGAAACUUUGAAACUCCUUGAUUUCCCUAAUUUCUUCUAAUUUUGAAACCUCUUUGUCAUUUUCAAACUCUCAAAACCUUUCAGAGCUUCCAAUUUUCGUUUGUUGUUUCAAGGCUUUUGUGUAUGUGUGUUUUAGAAAUAAGAGUGAAGGAGAUGAGUUCGAGAAGAGGGUAUGAAUGGCGCGGAGUUUUUGAAGAUCUCCAGAUGAAUGAGGGGUCACCUUCUCUGUUGGAUAUCGAGAGGGGUCUAUUGGUUUUCGAUUUUAAAGGAACCAGGAAGAGGGAUUGAAUUUCCUGUCUCCAAGGGGAGGGUAUCAAAUAGCUAAAUG